GACGAAGGGGGCUAGCGUUGUUCGGAAUUACUGGGCGUAAAGCGCGCGUAGGCGGUCUUUCAAGUCAGGAGUGAAAGCCCCGGGCUCAACCCGGGAAUAGCUCUUGAUACUGUUGGACUUGAGUCCGGGAGAGGAUAGUGGAAUUCCCAGUGUAGAGGUGAAAUUCGUAGAUAUUGGGAAGAACACCAGUGGCGAAGGCGGCUAUCUGGACCGGUACUGACGCUGAGAAGCGAAAGCAUGGGGAGCGAACAGG
rnacentral:rRNA from 1 species